GAAACUGAUUCUUUGUUACUAUAUAGUGCUGCUCUCCAAAGGUUACAUGAUAUGGAGAUCUCCUCUCUAUUUAUAGACAAAACUAGGGUUCUAGGCAUAUGGGCCACAUGAGCCUUCCUGGCCCAAGAAAGGUUUCUUAACAGAAACAACAUGUAGCCAUGAGGCCGCGCCGCACAAGGCGAGAGGAGAGGACAACGAGGCCUCAGGCCGCGUGACGAGGCACCUCCGUCGACAAAGCCAAUGAAUCGCUCACGCCGAAGAAGAUUAGCUGCGCCAGGCCGUUUACUGUUCGGCCGCACCGCUGUGGACACGCGCCGCUACACCUCGACGCCACCGCGGCCCUGAGCCGCUGCACCUCGCUGUCACCGCCGCCACCGCGAAGCACCCCAGCAGUCGUCACCCCUUCAGCACCCUAGCAGUCACACGGGGAAGGACCCCACCACCGCCUUCCUUGAGGUCAUGCCCUGCAGCACCCUAGCAGCCACACGGGGAAGGACCCUGCCGCCGCCUUCCUUGAGGUCCGCACGACGCCCGGCCUCCCCCUCCAGCGAUGGCGAGGGGUAGGGAGAAAUGGCGGCGGCUAGGCUUACGAUUUCGGGGUCGUCCUGCUUCAAAUUCGUAACUGGGUUACCAAGAAACCCCGGAACCUGAAGGCUACCUAUCUAAGUACUGGGACAUCCACAUGGAAGUUCUAUGUUCUAUGCACAGCUUCAAGAGUCAUCACCACUGUUCGAGCCCACGGAGGAAGAUGAGGAUGGCGAGUCAGGAGACUGGUACCGCACUUGGGCCCGUCCCCACGUCUGGUUCAUGAAGCUCUGAGCAUGGAUAUGUUGGGGAUGACGAGAUGGAUGUGGGGACUUGUGCUUGUGCUUCAUAUUAAUUAUUUGCAUCAUAAUGUCUAUGAUUGUUGGGAGCAGUCUUGAUAAAAUCGUAAGAAGAGCAGAUAGCUGCAAUAGAAAAAACUCAGUUUGAGAUUAGUGCGAAACUACAGUAGUAAGAUUCAGUUGUACGAAAAUGCACAAGGCAGAAACACAAGAAAGAAAUGCAUUGCUUGUGAUGAAAAAAACAAGUUGAAUCCCUUGGAGCAGAAUCAUAUGUAAUAAAUUUGGGAUCUAAUUUCUGUAAUGCCCCAUUUGGAAUUGAAUUCCAUUCUAAUAAUAGUAAUUUAGGUAAAUAUCAA